GUGGAUUAGAUACCCUGGUAGUCCACGCUGUAAACGAUGAUGACUAACCGUCGGCGAUACACAGUCGGUGGCCAAGCGAAAGCGAUAAGUCAUCCACCUGGGGAGUACGACCGCAAGGUUGAAACUCAAAGUAAUUGACGGGGGCCCGCACAAGCGGAGGAACAUGUGGUUUAAUUCGAUGAUACGCGAGGAACCUUACCCGGGCUCGAACGGCAGAUGAAUAACUUAGAGAUAGGUUAGUCUUCGGACAUCUGUCGAGGUGCUGCACGGCUGUCGACAACU
rnacentral:rRNA from 1 species